rnacentral:lncRNA from 1 species
CUACAAAAGCGCGCCGAGUCUUCCUGUCCACCCAGUCGCCCCACAUGUCAGCGGUUGGUCGCCUCGCGGUGCAGCGCUGGGCACGCGAGCCCCUCCCGCAGCCAUUCGCAGCACAAGCACCACCCGCAGCGACAGAGCUAAGAGCCCCCACGCCGCAGAGGUCGCGCGGAGCAGAACAGAAGAAACACACGUGUUCUUGUGUAUAAACCCAGUUCAUAGAAGAGACAGUCCGCUUGUCCCUCCUGAUUUCUGGGCCCAGACAACCAGUAGUCACCAUUCCAAGUAACAGGUGGCCGCAACUCUACAGCCCGUUCGUCUCUUCUCACUGUCAAAGCUGCUGAGACCCCAGACUCGACACUUGAAAGAAACCCACGUCUGUGAAGCACUUGUGGACCAUUCAAGAGAAGGAGAUAGGUGAUGGGAUCUAGCUUCUGAUGGUUUCUAUUUUAUUAAAUGUCUAAUAGGGCAAGAAUCUGAAAAACGAGAAAUUUGUCAUGCAGGAGGACCUGGGAAGGAGAUAAAACAUUUACAGGGGUAAAGAUUGGGAUUCAGUUGGGAGGAGUAACUGAGGAAAUGGGUCACUCAAAAUAUUUUAUGUUUUAGGUCCUUUAUCUAUUAAGGAAGAAUGGAUUGUCAAAGCCUUAACAUUGCAUUGUAUUGUGUCAGGUGAAUUGCUAUGGUUUGAAUGUGGUUUGCCCUCUCCCAAACUCACGUUGAAUUUUUUUCUUUUUCUUUUUUUGAGAUGGAGUCUCACUCUGUUGCCCAGGCUGGAGUGCAGUGGUGCAGUCUCGGCUAACUGCAAGCUCCUCCUCUCCCAGGUUCAAGAGAUUCUCCUGCCUCAGCCUCUCGAGUAGCUGGGAUUACAGAUGUUCAUCACCACACCUGGCUAAGUUUUGUAUUUUUAAUAGAGAUGGGGUUUCACUAUGUUGGCUAGGCUGCUCUCAAACUCCCGACCUCAGGUGAUCCAUCUGCCUCGGCCUCCCAAAGUACUGGGAUUUGAGGCAUGAUUCACUGCGACUAGCCUCACAUUGAAAUUUAAUUGCCAUUGUAACAGAAUAAAGAUGUGAGACCUUUACGAGGUGAUUAGGCAAUGAGGACUCUGCCCUUAUGAAUGGAUUAAUGCUGUCAUCAUGGGAGUGGUUAUAAAAGGACAUGUUCAGCACCCCUUUGCUCUCUCUCUCACCUUCCACCAUAUGAUGACAUGGCACAAAGGCCAUUGAUGCUGGCCCGUUGUUCUUGGACUUUCCAACCUCCAGAGCAGUAAAAAAAUAAAUCCGUGUUCUUUACAAAUGGCCCAGUCUCAGAUAUUCUGUUACAGCAGUACAAAGUGGACUAAGUCAUGAAGCCUAAAGAUUUACAUGGUUUACAGUGGUGGUCCCCAACCUUUUUGGCAGCAGGGGCUGGUUUUGUGGAAGACAGUUUUUCCACAGACCCAGGGGGCAGGGGGCAAGGAUAGUUUCGGGACAAAACUGUUCCACCUCGGAUUAUUAGGC